rnacentral:rRNA from 1 species
CUGGCUCAGGAUGAACGCUAGCGGCAGGCUUAACACAUGCAAGUCGAGGGGCAUCGGGAGUAGCAAUACUUGCCGGCGACCGGCGCAAGGGUGCGUAACGCGUGAGCAACAUGCCCGUAUCAGGGGGAUAAUCCAUGGAAACGUGGUCUAAUACCCCAUAGUAAUUAUGUAAGGCAUCUUAUAUAAUUUAAAGCUUUGGUGGAUACGGAUUGGCUCGCGUGACAUUAGCUAGAUGGUAAGGUAACGGCUUACCAUGGCUACGAUGUCUAGGGGUUCUGAGAGGAAGGUCCCCCACACUGGAACUGAGACACGGUCCAGACUCCUACGGGAGGCAGCAGUGAGGAAUAUUGGACAAUGGAUGGAAAUCUGAUCCAGCCAUGCCGCGUGCCAGGAAGACGGCCCUAUGGGUUGUAAACUGCUUUUGUAUGGGAGCAAUAAGGGCUACGUGUAGUCCGAUGAGAGUACCAUACGAAUAAGCACCGGCUAACUCCGUGCCAGCAGCCGC